AGGACGAACGCUGGCGGCGUGCUUAACACAUGCAAGUCGAGCGGAAAGGCCCUUCGGGGUACUCGAGCGGCGAACGGGUGAGUAACACGUGAGUAAUCUGCCCCUAGCUCUGGGAUAGCUCCGGGAAACCGGGAUUAAUACCAGAUACGACCACUUUAGACAUCUGCUGUGGUGGAAAGAAUUUCGGCUAGGGAUGAGCUCGCGGCCUAUCAGCUUGUUGGUGAGGUAACGGCUCACCAAGGCGACGACGGGUAGCCGGCCUGAGAGGGCGACCGGCCACACUGGGACUGAGACACGGCCCAGACUCCUACGGGAGGCAGCAGUGGGGGAAUAUUGCGCAAUGGGGGAAACCCUGACGCAGCAACGCCGCGUGGAGGAUGAAGCCCCUUGGGGUGUAAACUCCUUUCGAUCGGGAAGAUAAUGACGGUACCGAUAUAAGAAGCCCCGGCUAACUUCGUGCCAGCAGCCGC
rnacentral:rRNA from 1 species